rnacentral:rRNA from 1 species
CGGUCGGGUGAGUAAUGCUUGGGAAUCUGGCUUAUGGAGGGGGAUAACUACGGGAAACUGUAGCUAAUACCGCGUAAUAUCUUCGGAUUAAAGGGUGGGACUUUCGGGCCACCUGCCAUAAGAUGAGCCCAAGUGGGAUUAGGUAGUUGGUGGGGUAAAGGCCUACCAAGCCGACGAUCUCUAGCUGGUCUGAGAGGAUGACCAGCCACACUGGAACUGAGACACGGUCCAGACUCCUACGGGAGGCAGCAGUGGGGAAUAUUGCACAAUGGGGGGAACCCUGAUGCAGCCAUGCCGCGUGAAUGAAGAAGGCCUUCGGGUUGUAAAGUUCUUUCGGUGAUGAGGAAGGUGUUUGUUUUAAUAGAACAAGCAAUUGACGUUAGUCACAGAAGAAGCACCGGCUAACUCCGUGCCAGCAGCCGCGGUAAUACGGAGGGUGCGAGCGUUAAUCGGAAUGACUGGGCGUAAAGGGCACGCAGGCGGUGACUUAAGUGAGAUGUGAAAGCCCCGAGCUUAACUUGGGAAUUGCAUUUCAUACUGGGUCGCUAGAGUAUUUUAGGGAGGGGUAGAAUUCCACGUGUAGCGGUGAAAUGCGUAGAGAUGUGGAGGAAUACCGAAGGCGAAGGCAGCCCCUUGGGAAUAUACUGACGCUCAUGUGCGAAAGCGUGGGGAGCAAACAGGAUUAGAUACCCUGGUAGUCCACGCUGUAAACGCUGUCGAUUUGGGGAUUGGGCUUUAAGCUUGGUGCCCGUAGCUAACGUGAUAAAUCGACCGCCUGGGGAGUAC